ACCCGCUGAACUUAAGCAUAUUACUAAGCGGAGGAAAAGAAAUCAACGAAGAUUGCCUCAGUAGCGGCGAGUGAAGCGGCAAUAGCUCAAGUUUAGAAUCUGUGAUCGUCUCGGUCACCGAAUUGUAAUCUAAAGGGGCUAACAAAAGGGGAAGCAGAGGCAUAAGUUCCUUGGAACAGGACGUCAAAGAGGGUGAAAACCCCGUAUGUAGCCUUUGCUGAACCGAAUGUUGACCUUCUAAGAGUCGGGUUGUUUGGGAUUGCAGCCCUAAAUGGGAGAUAAACUUCUUCUAAGGCUAAAUAUUAUGGGAAACCCGAUAGCGAACAAGUACCGUGAAGGAAAGGUGAAAAGAACUUUGAAAAGAGGGUUAAAAGACUUGAAAUCGUUGAGAAGGAAGCAGUAGAAGUGGAUUUAUAUUAGUUAUGAAGUAACCCGUGUAAGGCACCAGCUCAUAGCGGUUAUGUACGUCAUUGGCUACCCGUUAUGAAGUAAUGGCACUUUGCGGGGAUUUCAUGGCUAAAGAGCAGAACCAGGUCUAAUCUUUCUUGCCGGAAUCAGUUGAGAGAAAGUCCGUAGGUAACUACGAAUCUCUCUUCAAAACGGCAAGGUGGCCUGAGGAAUAUAGGUUCUGCUACAACGGCUUC
rnacentral:rRNA from 1 species